AGAUGACCUACCCUCUGGAAACAAAUACUGUGAGGGAGAAAUACUCUACUGAGCAUGCUGAUGGUGUCCAGUCGCGUUUGAGGAGAGCUUCGGGGAGAUGAUUGUCCUCAGGGCUUGCAGGGGGUACCCUAUUCCAUCGUUGGCUCCACGUCUAGCUAUGAGAACUUCCUGGGACCUCGGGGAUACCCUUGAGCUGUGAUUUCCUGCUUUGUAGCCGGAACGUCGUGAGUGAAAUGGGGCGGUUGGCGGUGAAUGGAGAAUGGAGAGCGUCUGCAGCUGCCGGCAUGGGUGUGGUCAGCGGUGGCGGCAGACGCCCUGCCUGGGGUUUCUGCCACUGCCGCCGCUGUCCUCACCACCGCCAUCACUUACUGUACUUAAGAGCACAGUAUUCAUUACUUUUCAUGAUUUUGGAUUUAAGGACAAAGUUAACAAGGAAGUAUAGUGAUUUUCAGAGGUUUGAAAAUAAAACUUGAUUCAACUGGCCCCUUUCUUUUGGUGAAGAACAAUUCAUUCACAUUCAAGGCAGGAUAUAUAUAUUUUCUUUUAAGCAACAUAACCCUGACUCAAACAAUUUUUCCUACACAGAAACAAUAAAAUUCACUACUUACUUACCUGAGCAAACCUCUCUAGAUUCCAAAUUGUGGAAUACAUUACCAUCAAAGGAACAAUUGGCUCCUAUCCUCCUUGUGUUGAGGAUGGCCUAACAUAACUCCCAUUUCAGCUGAAUCUUUAAAUCUUAGCUGCAGGACAUCCAUGUUCUAUUUGCAAUGUGGAUUUUUUCCAUACUAUUUUAAUUUUUCAAAUAUAUUUUACUUUUACUUGCUCGUGUAUGUUAUUUGUAGUCAAUCAGGUGGAAUGCUAUAUAAAUGAUAUAAAAUUUAAAACUAUAACAAAAACAAUUAAAAUAGUGUGAAAUAAACAUACUAUAGAUGUUUGGUGCUCUCAAGUUAUAUUUUAAUUACGGGGGAUGGGGGGUGGCCAGCAUUGCAGCCAGAUGAAUGCUUCCUUUGGGGGUUCCUGAAGGAUCAAUACCUCAGCUGUCAGCAGGGGGUCUUUUUAACCAAAGCUGUCCUGUAGGGACGGUGAACAAGAGAAGCACAAUCUAACGUACUUAGGGAAGUUGCAAAUUCCCCAGCCAUUUCAGAAGAAGCUUCUCAAACUGGCGACCAAGGAAGUGGCCAUUACAAGCCACCAUAAAGCUGGGGUGGUCACGAAAGGAACGUGGAGGUGACAGAAAAGUGUGGACAGUCUGGGUGAGGUAUUUUUUAAAAAAAAAAUGUUUCUUUUUAUAACCUCCUUGGAAUAGUAGAGAGAGGAGAGUACAGCAAAAACAGAGGAGGUGGAACUGGGGUUUUUUUUGUGUGUGUGUGCUCUUCCACCUCCUUACACCAAGAAGGCAGGAGGAGCCAAAUAAGUAAAAAAAGGGAAAAACUGAAUUGGCUUCGUAAGACUGUUUCCAAAAGAAUAAAAAUCAGAAAGCCAGACUAAAUAAACUCAAAUCUCUUAUUUUUCAAAGUAGAGAUUAAAAAUUAAAACUAAAGUGACUAAAUGAUUUUUUUUUCUUUUCAUAAAACUUUUUUUCCUUUUUGGAAUUGAACUAUAGUGCCAUCUAGAGGCACAAUUCCUUGCAAUUUGGUCAUAAGAACAAAGAAAAGAGCAAUGUGUGAACGAGAUAGAUAAGAAAUUAUUUUGCUUCAUAGAGAGGGGGAAAAAAAUUUCGUUAUUUACUGGAACAGUGCAGCUCUCAGAACUUGAAAGAGAAAUAACAGGAAAGAUGAUAGAUAUUCUUUUUCUCCUUUUGUCUUUUGAAUAGUUGGACAUACGAUUUUGAUUUUCCUUUUCUCAGUGGUUGGUAAUACUAUGAUUAUUUUUAUUUUGGAAUUAAAAAAACAAGACAAUUGCAAUUUUGGAUCUGGUGGGUUGGUUUGGAUUAAAAAAUUUACUCAUUUUUUAACACCCCCCCCCUCUUUUUUGUCCUCUUUCUUCACUCUUUUGAGCAAUGUGGAUUAAGGUAAGAAGAACCUGAAGAAAAGAAGUUAACAAGAGAUUUGGAUUUGGAUUAUAAAGAUGUAUUUUUUCAUCUUCUUUUUUCCCCUGGUUUUUUAUUGAACAACACAAUUGUCUUCAGCAGCCUCUUCAACAACUUCUAGUCCUGCGAGUCAGAGAACAUUGGAUACCAUGGCACACCAAGAGAAACUUGAUCUAAAAAAUAUGAUACAGGCUCUACAUUAAGACUUGAAGAAAAGGAUAGGCAAAUUAGAUGGAAGAAUGGAGAAAGUAGAAGGGGAGUUAAAAGACUUUAAAGGGAUUUUGGAGAAAA